rnacentral:tRNA from 1 species
GGGCUCAUAGCUCAAUUGGUUAGAGCGUCGGUCUCAUAAACCGGUGGUUCCUGGUUCAAGUCCAGGUGGGCCCACCA